rnacentral:tRNA from 1 species
GGAAGGAUGGCAGAGCGGUUGAAUGCGUCUGAUUCGAAAUCAGAUUACACGGCAACGUGUACGGGGGUUCGAAUCCCUCUCCUUCCG